UUCCAGCUCCAAUAGCGUAUAUUAAAGUUGUUGCAGUUAAAAAGCUCGUAGUUGGAUUUCUGGUGGGGCUGUCGGCCUGGCUCCGAAAGGGGUCGUGGUUAGUACACGCCUGGCCAUCCUCGGGGGAAGCUUUGCUGGCAUUAAGUUGUCGGCGGAGUGACGCUCGUCGUUUACUGUGAACAAAUUAGAGUGUUCAAAGCAGGCUUAGGCCGUUGAAUACAUUAGCAUGGAAUAAUGAGAUAGGACUUUGGUGGUCUAUUUUGUUGGUUUGCACGCCGAAGUAAUGAUUAAUAGGGGCGGUUGGGGGUAUUCGUAUUCAAUUGUCAGAGGUGAAAUUCUUGGAUUUAUGGAAGACGAACUACUGCGAAAGCAUUUACCAAGGAUGUUUUCAUU
rnacentral:rRNA from 1 species